rnacentral:misc_RNA from 1 species
AACCUAGCACACCUGCGGUGUGUACCUGCGGAAGGAUCAUUACAGAGUUCGUGCCCUCGCGGGUAGAUCUCCCACCCUUGUGUAUUCUCUACAUCUUGUUGCUUUGGCAGGCCGUUGGUUCGCCAACCACCGGCUCGCGGGCUGGUGCGUGCCUGCCAGAGGACCUCUCAAACUCGGUUUGUCAGUGUCGUCUGAGUACCAUAACAAUCGUUAAAACUUUCAACAACGGAUCUCAGAUCG